rnacentral:rRNA from 1 species
UGGGGAAUUUUGGACAAUGGGCGAAAGCCUGAUCCAGCAAUGCCGCGUGUGUGAAGAAGGCCUUCGGGUUGUAAAGCACUUUUGUCCGGAAAGAAAUCCUUGGCUCUAAUACAGUCGGGGGAUGACGGUACCGGAAGAAUAAGCACCGGCUAACUACGUGCCAGCAGCCGCGGUAAUACGUAGGGUGCAAGCGUUAAUCGGAAUUACUGGGCGUAAAGCGUGCGCAGGCGGUUUGCUAAGACCGAUGUGAAAUCCCCGGGCUCAACCUGGGAACUGCAUUGGUGACUGGCAGGCUAGAGUAUGGCAGAGGGGGGUAGAAUUCCACGUGUAGCAGUGAAAUGCGUAGAGAUGUGGAGGAAUACCGAUGGCGAAGGCAGCCCCCUGGGCCAAAUACUGACGCUCAUGCACGAAAGCGUGGGGAGCAAAACAGGAUUAGAUACCCUGGUAGUCCACGCCCUAAACGAUGUCAACUAGUUGUUGGGGAUUCAUUUCCUUAGUAACGUAGCUAACGCGUGAAGUUGACCGCCUGGGGAGUACGGUCGCAAGAUUAAAACUUAAAGGAAUUGACGGGGUCAUAGCUGUUUCCU